ACAAAUCAAUUGAAUUGUUUCAAGAAAUCGACACACGCUAACAGUAGACGUUCCGCUAAUCGCUAUUCGAAAAGCAGAAAAUGUAUGGUCAAGCAAGAUUUUUUAGGGUGGUGCUGGACUACUUUAGGGGGAUGCCAGACACCACUAGGUAGGGUGCGCACCACCUCGGUAGAUCCGUCCCUGUAUUAAAUUACAAACACACUCAAAUAAUACAAUAAAUAAAAUGUAAUCAGUUUAAAUGAGUAGACGCUUUAGUUUGCUUGAAAAUGAUUUAAAGGAGACAGAAUUUAUGAUUUCAUUAGCAUGCGAAAUAAAGAAAUGUGGACCUUGAUAUCUUAACGAAAGCUCACACUAAAUGUAGGACGUAAUUAAAAUAAUUUGAAAAGAUUCUAUAGUUUGAUAACUUUAUGUACUUGGCUAUUAACAUGUACCGUAAACCAAC
rnacentral:lncRNA from 1 species